AUCCCAGGUGAAUGUGGUUGAAGUGUUUAUGUGAUUCGUGGGAGGCUGAAACCCAUGAUGGGAGCUUUGCUGGUAACGCCCCUGUUUCCCUGGAGGCGCUUCAUUAGUAGCUUGCCACACAUAA
rnacentral:snoRNA from 1 species